UACGACCACAUCACGUUAAAACACCAGUUCCCGUACGAUCGACGAAGUUAAGCAACGACGAAUUUGGUCAGUACGUAGAUGGGUCACCGCUUGGGAAUACUUGCU